rnacentral:rRNA from 1 species
UCGCCUGUUUUACAAAAACAUGUCCCUUUGAAGUUUUAUAUAGGGUUUGACCUGCCCAUUGAAUUUAAAUUUAAAAGGCCGCAGUAUUUUAACUGUGCAAAGGUAGCAUAAUCAUUAGUUUUUUAAUUGAAAGCUGGAAUGAAAGGUUGGACGAGGUAUUAUCUGUUUCUAAUAUAAAAUAUAGAAUUUUAUUUUUUAGUCAAAAAGCUAAAAUUUUUUUUAAAGACGAGAAGACCCUAUAGAUCUUUAUAAUUAUUUGAUUUAAGUUAUAAAGUUUAUUUUUAUUUAAAUUAAUAAUUUAUUUUAUUGGGGUGAUAUGAAGAUUUAAAUAACUCUUUAAUAUUUUUAACAUUAAUUUAUGAAUUAUUUGAUCCUUUAUUAAAGAUUAAUAAAUUAAGUUACCUUAGGGAUAACAGCGUAAUUCUUUUGGAGAGUUCUUAUCGAUAAAAGAGAUUGCGACCUCGAUGUUGGAUUAAGAGAUAUAGCUAGGUGUAGCCGUUUAGUAUAAUAGUCUGUUCGACUAAUAAUUUCUUACAUGAUCUGAGUUCAAAACCGGAGA